AUUGAACGCUGGCGGCAUGCCUUACACGUGCAAGUCGAACGGCAGCACGGGUGCUUGCACCUGGUGGCGAGUGGCGAACGGGUGAGUAAUACAUCGGAACGUACCUUAUCGUGGGGGAUAACGCAGCGAAAGCUGUGCUAAUACCGCAUACGCCCUGAGGGGGAAAGCGGGGGAUCGCAAGACCUCGCGCGAUUAGAGCGGCCGAUGCCUGAUUAGCUUGUUGGUGGGGUAAAAGCCCACCAAGGCGACGAUCAGUAGCUGGUCUGAGAGGACGAUCAGCCACACUGGGACGGAGACACGGCACAGACUCCUACGGGAGGCAGCAGUGGGUAAUUUUGGACAAUGGAGGCAACCCUGAUCCAGCAAUGCCGCGUGAGUGAAGAAGGCCUUCGGGUUGUAAAGCUCUUUUGUCAGGGAGAAAACACCGGCUCUAACACAGUCCGGGAAUGACGGUACCUGAAGAAUAAGCACCGGCUAAUUACGUGCCAGCCGCCGCCGUAA
rnacentral:rRNA from 1 species